AUGGCAUCAUGAGUCCGCAUGUUCACAUGAUUAAAGGUAUUCCGGUAGACGAUGGGGAUGCGUUCCAUUAGAUAGUAGGCGGGGUAACGGCCCACCUAGUCUUCGAUGGAUAGGGGUUCUGAGAGGAAGGUCCCCCACAUUGGAACUGAGACACGGUCCAAACUCCUACGGGAGGCAGCAGUGAGGAAUAUUGGUCAAUGGGCGCAGGCCUGAACCAGCCAAGUAGCGUGAAGGAUGACUGCCCUAUGGGUUGUAAACUUCUUUUAUAAAGGAAUAAAGUCGGGUAUGUAUACCCGUUUGCAUGUACUUUAUGAAUAAGGAUCGGCUAACUCCGUGCCAGCAGCCGCGGUAAUACGGAGGAUCCGAGCGUUAUCCGGAUUUAUUGGGUUUAAAGGGAGCGUAGAUGGAUGUUUAAGUCAGUUGUGAAAGUUUGCGGCUCAACCGUAAAAUUGCAGUUGAUACUGGAUAUCUUGAGUGCAGUUGAGGCAGGCGGAAUUCGUGGUGUAGCGGUGAAUGCUUAGAUAUCACGAAGAACUCCGAUUGCGAAGGCAGCCUGCUAAGCUGCAACUGAC
rnacentral:rRNA from 1 species